UCAUGUUUAAAACUAACUUGAAGUUCAAUAUAAAGCUAUUAAUUGUAAGUAUGCAUGGAAAGAUAAGGCAUGCCUUUAAUUAUUUGAAAAGAAACUGGGCCUAGCAGGCCCAAUACAUUAUCUAAAAGGAUCUUUAAGAGAAAUAUGGUUGAAGGGAACAAAGGCACCAUUAUGUAAAAUAAGGAUCGUUAUUAAUCCUGAUUGACGACAAAGCCUAACCCAUAAAUAUUGCAAGGACUAAACGAACUCAAACUAACAGGAAAAAAGCAUCUCACGUUAUAUUUUCGAGACUAUAUAUGAGGACAAAGGUGCAAGUGGCCCCAAUAGCUUCGAUUGGGCCAAAUACCAGGUCCGACCUUUCGCAGAUAAGCCUCCUGUAUUAGGAACCCUUUUUUAUUAUACUAAACAAAAAAACUUAAUGGAUAAAAUUGCUGAAGGUAGUUGUGAUCGAAAUUGAGCCCAAAAAGGGAGAGAAGACAGAAGCAAAACACGUUGAGCCUAGUUCCAACCAGGCUGCCUUAUCUGGGCCAAAGCCCGACCCAAUUACUUCUAGCAAGGGGGGCUUUCCAUAUUAAGGAGCUAUUGAGGCUUGGUUCCAUACAACAAAAACAUUACACAAAUUCUGAAAAUCAAAGUGCUGAACAAACAUUGAUAAUCAUGAUCUUCCAAAACAAUUUGUAAAUGAAAGUGACAUUACAUGAUUAAACAACUUUAAACUACAUUUAAUCAAAAUGAUAAAGAAAGGAUCAUAGCUCAAACAACAAAUAUCUAAUUACAUCAACAAAACAAGACUUUAUCAAUUACAGCCUUCAAAUUUGAUUGAGUCUCAAUCAACCACAGAAUUAGAUGCUGCUUCUAGGCAUAGAACCAACACACUUCAACCUUUUGUAGCCAAAAUUCAUUGUACUCACGCUUUUAAGGAGUAAAUCUGACCAACUGGUAGUCAAAUUUACAUUCUUAAUAUUGCUUCAAUCUAAAAUAUCAUCUCUCAAAUAGAUAUCCCUCAGCAAAGAUAUCAUCACUAUGAAUAACAUCAAAGACUAAGAAAGAAGGAACUCUGAAUAACAUGCCGGGCCAAACCAACAGUCAAAAACAUUAAUUUAGAAGAAUAAAUGGAGAUAAAUUUGGACAAAACUAACACAUGUAGUCAAAAUCUGAUACUUAGCACAAACAGAUACAAAUACUCAAACAUGGAUUACACAAGAAAUUUCAUUCAAUGGAAAAAUAUAAAAGUGCAGUCACAUACCUAAAGGUAGAAAAAGAAGGACGACAGAAAGAAGACCACAUAAAGGUCAGAACAAUGAAAUCUGGAGAUCAACCAAGCUUAAACAGCACAACAUAAGCAACCAAGAUACAGCAAGACCACAACUCUAAACUUAAACCAUGCUCGAACCUUUGAAAACUAGAAAUUCCCAAGAGAAAACUUGUUCUAACUUUUUUUUUUGAAAUCAGAUUUAGAUCAAAUGCUAAUAGAACAGUAGUGCUGAACCUUUCAGGGUAUUCUUAGGGUCUGAAAAAUCUCCUAAAAUGAGUGAAGAAAGGUUCUAUUUAUA
rnacentral:lncRNA from 1 species